UAUGGUCACAUCACAUUGAAACACUAGUUCCUGUAUGAUCACCAAAGUUAAGCGACAUUAAGCCUUGUCAGUACCUAGAUAGGUGACCACUUGAUGACCAGGUGCUGUAAG